UUCUCUUAGAGUAAGAUUUUUUACUAUUUAAUAGUUUAACGUUAAUUUUCAUAUUAAUAUUAUAAAAUGUAAAAACAUAAAAGGACUCAAAGUUCACCGAAAAGUUUGCAUUUGAGAAAAUCUCUUGAGCAUUUAUCUUAUUAAUAUGAAUGGAUUAGCAUUAUUUGCAAGUCGGUAGGCAUGAAGCCCAAAAAGGAGCUGCAAGACAAAGGCACGUUUUAACUCUUUUAUCAUAAUGAAUGAUCAUGUACUUGUUAUGCCGAUGACAAGAUUGAUGAAAUGGACAAAAUCAAUUUCGUUGAAUUUAAUUUUAUUAGGGUUAGUCGGCAAUCUUAUACACUGAUGUCCGCAAGUUAAAUACGGUGCUGAUGACAUGCAUUUUUACACAUAUAAUAGGAUCCAAAAUUAAAAAAUGGAAGUUUAUGUUUUGCUACAUAUGAAGAGAUGUCGUCUCCAAAAUAAUUUAGCUAAGUUAGUUAGAACAAUAUACUUUCCUUUUUACAUCUAAAUUAGAAGAAUC
rnacentral:lncRNA from 1 species